AUUCCCAAAUUUUCGCUCGCUUAGCCAUUCUCUCAUUUUUUUCACUCCACCCAGCCUCUCUCUCACUCUCCUUUCUCCACCGCGCCGUUUCUCUCAGACUCUCAGUCCAGACCCACCCUACCUAUCCUCACCCUCACCUACCGGCACCGUAGGCACUGCCGCUUCUUCAUCUUCUUCUAUUCUCUCUGGAGUCUGGAUUCUCCACUCUCUCCGUCAGAUUCGACCUUGGGAAGGCAGUGGAACAGAUCAACAGAUUCGGUGCUUGGGGGUUUUGGUUGGUUUUUGCUUAUUGUGCUGUCUUUCAGCUACGAUAUCAAAGAAUGCUUUCCUUUCUUCCUCUCUCGUCCAUAGAAAGAGUUAAAUUGAAGAACGAAAAGACAAGAUCUUUGAACUGAAAAGAUCUUGUGAAAUCCCAUAUUCAACAUUUGGCGAGGUUUAGGCUGCAUCUGUUGUUUUGUUUUUAGUAGGGCUGCAUCUGUUGUUUUUUGUACUGGUGGGAGAGGGAGAAGGAAGGGCUUGCCGGGGCGACUGUCAGGGCCGGGGUCAAGUGCUUGGGGGUUUUGGUUGGGUUCUGCGAUUUGGAGGAUUGGAAUAAGCACAAUAAUCGUUUCAAGAACACACAUUUGAGUUCUACCUCAAAUACUUUGGGAGGGUACUUUGAGGUCUUCAAGAAUACUCAUUAGAGUGAAUCACAUGGAUGGACAACUGAGAGAGCAAAGGAAUAUUAUGAACAAAUGAUCAACACUCGCGAUGCUCGUUUUAGUGAACUACCAGAGAGGGGUUUAGAACUUGACUACGAUACGGAGGAAGAAAUUUACUCAAGUUUUGUCAAAUGAUAGGUAUGAAAAAUAUGGUUUCGAGCGUGGCAUAGGUCUUGUAUCAAGACAAGCAUCACAAGUACGCAAAUCUGGAGGGUUUGGAUAUGAAAACCUUCAAAAUGAAGUUCAGGAUCACAAACAUCGUAUGUCGGACGUAGAAAUUCUAAUGAAGCAAUAACAAGAGUUUAUUCAAAAACUACUUCAGCAGAUCAUCCUGGACCUUCCGUCCCAAGAAGAGAAGAUCCUCCGCCACCACCACCACCACCACCGGCCUCAGUUUGU